rnacentral:pre_miRNA from 1 species
AAUAAGAGAAUGACAAAUCAGAUUUUUUUUUGCUGAUUUUGAGCUUUUUCCUCCUUAUAAAAUUUAAAUCAAACUAAAAAUACUAAAAAUUAAAAGAAAAAAUCUGAUUUAUUAUUUUCUUAUU